rnacentral:rRNA from 1 species
UACGUAGGCAGCGAGCGUUGUUCGGAAUUACUGGGCGUAAAGGAGUGUGUAGGCGGUGUUCCCAGUCUGUUGUGAAAUCUCCCGGCUUAACUGGGAGGGUGCAGCGGAAACUAGAAUGCUAGAGGGUGGGAGAGGUAAGCGGAAUUCCUGGUGUAGCGGUGAAAUGCGUAGAUAUCAGGAGGAACACCUGUGGUGUAGACAGCUUACUGGACCACUUCUGACGCUGAGACACGAAAGCGUGGGUAGCAAACAGG